UACGUAGGGGGCAAGCGUUGUCCGGAAUCAUUGGGCGUAAAGCGCGUGUAGGCGGUUCGGUAAGUCUGCUGUGAAAGUCCAGGGCUCAACCCUGGGAUGCCGGUGGAUACUGUCGGACUAGAGUACGGAAGAGGCGAGUGGAAUUCCCGGUGUAGCGGUGAAAUGCGUAGAUAUCGGUAGGAACACCUGUGGCGAAGGCGGUCUCCUGGGGCAGACUGACGCUGAGGCGCGAAAGCUGGGGGAGCGAACGGG
rnacentral:rRNA from 1 species